AGUCAUAUGCUUGUCUCAAAGAUUAAGCCAUGCAUGUCUCAGUACAAGCCAAAUUAAGGUGAAACCGCGAAAGGCUCAUUAAAUCAGUUAUGGUUCCUUAGAUCGUACCCACAUUUACUUGGAUAACUGUGGUAAUUCUAGAGCUAAUACAUGCCAACAGAACUCCGACCGGAGACGGAAGGAGUGCCUUUAUUAGAUCAAAACCAAUCGGUGGCGCGGCCUCGGUCGUGUCAUCGUACAACAUGGUGAAUCUGAAUAACGUUUGCUGAUCGCACGGUCUCGCACCGGCGACGCAUCUUUCAAAUGUCUGCCUUAUCAACUGUCGAUGGUAGGUUCUGCGCCUACCAUGGUUGUAACGGGUAACGGGGAAUCAGGGUUCGAUUCCGGAGAGGGAGCCUGAGAAACGGCUACCACAUCCAAGGAAGGCAGCAGGCGCGCAAAUUACCCACUCCCGGCACGUGGAGGUAGUGACGAAAAAUAACGAUACGGGACUCAUCCGAGGCCCCGUAAUCGGAAUGAGCACACUUUAAAUCCUUUCACGAGGAUCAAUCGGAGGGCAAGUCAGGUGCCAGCAGCCGCGUUAAUUCCUGCUCCGAUAGCGUAU
rnacentral:rRNA from 1 species